GAAACCGGAGCUAAUACCGGAUAAUAUUUUAACCGCAUGGUUCAAAAGUGAAAGACGGUCUUGCUGUCACUUAUAGAUGGAUCCGCGCUGCAUUAGCUAGUUGGUAAGGUAACGGCUUACCAAGGCAACGAUGCAUAGCCGACCUUAGAGGGUGAUCGGCCACACUGGAACUGAGACACGGUCCAG
rnacentral:rRNA from 1 species